AAUAUAGACAUGCCGGUAAUAAAGAGUAGAUGCCGGCGUAUUCGUGGACAAUGAAGAGUAGAUGCCGGCGUAUUCAUGGACAAUGAAGAGUAGACACCUCAUUCGUGGACAUAAUAAAGACGCUGCAUUCAUGGACAUAAUAAAGAGUAGACACAGCAUUGACUGCUCCAGUGCGAGAAACGUCACCGCCAUUUUGCACCGAUCUAAACUCAGCCUCCAGCUGCAACUGCUAAGGUACUGAAGCACUGGACGGGAGCACUGUACAGCUUCUCCCAAAACAGGACUCGAGGAAUUACUGUUCACAAGUGCAGCCAGGAUCACUUGGAGCUUCUGCUGAAUUCAAUCAGAGCCUCAGGUAGGAUUCAUGCUUUUCUAAUUACAAUGAAUUCUACAAAUAUAUUUAAUACUUUUUAUGUGCUGUAUGUUUUGUAUGUGUUUUCCCUACAAGGGGAAUGGAACAAUAAUCAAUCUGCACACCAGUUCCAGUCCAUCUUCCACCGUCUGAUGUAGUCAGACAACAUGGCGGCACAGGAUGACACUGUGUCCUUGUCUGCAGUGGACAUGUCCUCUGUCCUUUGACAACAUUUCAGCUCUGAGGCACCGAGGAUGUUCUUGCUCAGUGACAUUGAGGAGACACCGUUCCAUUGACAACUAUCAUUCAAACUUGUUGUCAUUGGUUAUAUCCAUGUUCCUUAAAAUAAGCUUUCACCACAUCCCAAGCUCACCGCUCUUAAAUUGCAGAGUGGCAGUAAAAGAAAUAUGCUAUUUAAAACUGGCUUCUUUCAAUGGUUUAAUGGGCUCAAACCCUUUCACCAAGGAAUAGAUAAAAUAGGUUAGAUAAGAUUAUUAAGUUACAUAAAAUGAAUAAGUCUGAUUAGAUAAAGUAAGAAAGAUAGGACGUAGAUAGAAUAUAUAUUGCAUAUUAAUAUAAAUAUAUAUUUGUAGUUUGUUACAGAUAACAUUGCAAGUCUAUAUAUGUAUUAUAUAUUAUUGCAUGUCUGUGUAUAUAUUGUAUAUUGGUGUGCAUAACUUAAUAUUAUAGAUGUAUCUUACGUAUUUCAAAUAUCCUUGUGUUAUACAUAUAUAUAUGUGUGCGUGUGUGUUAUAGUGAUAAUACUAUCUGUGUUUAUAUGGACCAUGCUGGUUUGAAAUAAAGUUUAUACAAUUAUA